rnacentral:rRNA from 1 species
UACGUAGGGGGCAAGCGUUAUCCGGAAUCACUGGGCGUAAAGGGUGCGUAGGUGGUCCAUCAAGUCAGGAGUGAAAGGCAGCGGCUUAACCGCUGUAAGCUCUUGAAACUGACGGACUUGAGUGCAGGAGAGGUAAGUGGAAUUCCUAGUGUAGCGGUGAAAUGCGUAGAUAUUAGGAGGAACACCAGUGGCGAAGGCGACUUACUGGACUGUUACUGACACUGAGGCACGAAAGCGUGGGGAGCAAACAGGAUUAGAAA